CUUUCGCAAGGGAAGAAAACGCCAGGGUUAAUACCUUUGUCGGAUGACGGUACCUUGACAAGAAGCACCGGCUAACUACGUGCCAGCAGCCGCGGUAAUACGUAGGGUGCGAGCGUUAAUCGGAAUUACUGGGCGUAAAGCGUGCGCAGGCGGUUUUGUAAGACAGAUGUGAAAUCCCCGGGCUUAACCUGGGAACUGCGUUUGUGACUGCAAGGCUAGAGUACGGCAGAGGGGGGUGGAAUUCCACGUGUAGCAGUGAAAUGCGUAGAUAUGUGGAGGAACACCGAUGGCGAAGGCAGCCCCCUGGGCCUGUACUGACGCUCAUGCACGAAAGCGUGGGGAGCAAACAGGAUUAGAUACCCUGGUAGUCCACGCCCUAAACGAUGUCAACUAGUUGUUCGGAGAGGUAACUUU
rnacentral:rRNA from 1 species